AAUUUUGGACAAUGGGCGCAAGCCUGAUCCAGCAAUGCCGCGUGCAGGAAGAAGGCCUUCGGGUUGUAAACUGCUUUUGUCAGGGAAGAAAUCCUUUAGGUUAAUACCCUUGGGGGGAUGACGGUACCUGAAGAAUAAGCACCGGCUAACUACGUGCCAGCAGCCGCGGUAAUACGUAGGGUGCAAGCGUUAAUCGGAAUUACUGGGCGUAAAGCGUGCGCAGGCGGCUUUGCAAGACAGAUGUGAAAUCCCCGGGCUCAACCUGGGAACUGCAUUUGUGACUGCAAGGCUAGAGUACGGUAGAGGGGGAUGGAAUUCCGCGUGUAGCAGUGAAAUGCGUAGAUAUGCGGAGGAACACCAAUGGCGAAGGCAAUCCCCUGGACCUGUACUGACGCUCAUGCACGAAAGCGUGGGGAGCAAACAGGAUUAGAUACCCUGGUAGUCCACGCCCUAAACGAUGUCAACUGGUUGUUGGACGGCUUGCUGUUCAGUAACGAAGCUAACGCGUGAAGUGACCGCCU
rnacentral:rRNA from 1 species